GGCUCAGGAUGAACGCUGGCGGCGUGCUUAACACAUGCAAGUCGAACGAAGAUGCCGGAGUGCUUGCACUUUGGCAGACUGAGUGGCGGACGGGUGAGUAAACGCGUGGGUAACCUGCCUUAUACAGGGGGAUAACAGUUGGAAACGACUGCUAAUACCGCAUAAGCGCACGGUAUCGCAUGAUACAGUGUAGAAAAACUCCGGUGGUAUGAGAUGGACCCGCGUCUGAUUAGCUAGUUGGGUGGGGUAACAGCCUACCAAGGCGACGAUCAGUAGCCGACCCUGAGAGGGUGACCGGCCACAUUGGGACUGAGACACGGCCCAGACUCCCUACGGGAGGCAGCAGUGGGGAAUAUUGCACAAUGGGGGAAACCCUGAUGCAGCGACGCCGCGUGAGUGAUGAAGUAUUUCGGUAUGUAAAACUCUAUCAGCAGGGAAGAUAAUGACGGUACCUGACUAAGAAGCACCGGCUAAAUACGUG
rnacentral:rRNA from 1 species